UAUGCAAAAGUCGUAACACGGUUUCCGUAGGUGAACCUGCGGAAGGAUCAUUC
rfam:Eimeria tenella Houghton genomic scaffold, Eth_scaff1243